AUGGGGGAGACUCCUGGCAGCGACGAGAUCGUCUUUUCUCUCUUCGAGGGGAAGAAAAGAAAGCGAACAGAAAAACCUAUUGAGGAAACAAAGGGGGAAAGGGAACGUGGGAGGAAAAAUCAGGAUAGGAGGGCAAAGAUAGUCCACGUCGGAUAUGGUCUUGCUCAGUCUAUACCUUUGCAAAAGACACCUUCGACUAUUGCGGUCUCACUGGAUAGUCCUCGUGCUAGCCGGCAGGAUGAUCGACCUAGGCAUCCCACGGAGAAAUCUAUUCUGCUCGGAGAGAGAAGCAAUGCUGACACCGGAUCGACUGACGAUGGUGAUGAGAAGGCUGAUGGACCGUCGUCCCUGGAAGCUCCGCCGGGAGGGGGGAAACCCGGGGGAACUCAAGUCUGUGUUGAUUGUGACGAGGAUGACUGCCCGAUAUGCCUCGAAGAGUAUGACUACGAGAAUCCGAAGAUCCUGCUGCAAUGCAACCAUGAUUUCCAUCUUGGUUGCAUCUACGCGUGGAUGGAGAGAAGCCAGUCUUGCCCGGUGUGUACCGUGGUAAUGAUGUUCAAAGAGGACCAGUGA
rnacentral:rRNA from 1 species